rnacentral:lncRNA from 1 species
UCGUAUCCGCAGGGAUUGUUUCAAUCUCGACAAAACAAUUAAAUUAAUUUAGGAUUAAUAAUUAAAAUGCAAAGGGGGGAGUUUAACUUGGUUUGAAUUUUUAUCAUAAACUUAUAAAUAACUUGGGAUUCAGAUUGAAUGAAAGAAAAACGAUUGAUCCUUUUGGUUCAUCUAAUUACUACUUCUCUUGGUAAUUUCAUGUAUGAUUACAAAUUUACUCAAUUUAGUUUCAUGAUUAGAUUAAAUCUCAAAUGAUUAUGUCCAAUGUCUUGGUAACACAAUCCUCUCCCUUGAUCAUCAAUUCCUAAU